CCUACGGGAGGCAGCAGUGAGGAAUAUUGGUCAAUGGACGAGAGCCUGAACCAGCCAAGUAGCGUGAAGGAUGACUGCCCUAUGGGUUGUAAACUUCUUUUAUAUGGGAAUAAAACGUUCAACGUGUGGUAUUUUGUAUGUACCUUAUGAAUAAGGAUCGGCUAACUCCGUGCCAGCAGCCGCGGUAAUACGGAGGAUCCGAGCGUUAUCCGGAUUUAUUGGGUUUAAGGGGAGCGUAGGUGGGUUGUUAAGUCAGUUGUGAAAGUUUGUGGCUCAACCGUAAAAUUGCAGUUGAAACUGGCAGUCUUGAGUACAGUAGAGGUGGGCGGAAUUCGGGGUGUAGCGGUGAAAUGCUUAGAUAUCACGAAGAACUCCGAUUGCGAAGGCAGUUCACUGGACUGCAACUGACACUGAGGCUCGAAAGUGUGGGUAUCAAACAGGAUUAGAUACCCCAGUAGUC
rnacentral:rRNA from 1 species